rnacentral:tRNA from 1 species
AAGAUGUUAGUAAAAAUUACAAGGCCUUGUCAUGGCUUAACUGCUAGCUAACACAUCUUG